UACGGAGGAUCCAAGCGUUGUCCGGAUUUAUUGGGUUUAAAGGGUGCGCAGGCGGACUUUUAAGUCAGUGGUGAAAGCCGACAGCUCAACUGUCGAACUGCCAUUGAAACUGAAAGUCUUGAAUGCGGUCGAGGUAAAUGGAAUGUGUCAUGUAGCGGUGAAAUGCUUAGAUAUGAUACAGAACACCUAUUGCGAAGGCAGUUUACUAGACCGAUAUUGACGCUCAGGCACGAAAGCGUGGGGAGCGAACAGG
rnacentral:rRNA from 1 species